GCAAACUGAUAAUUCGAUUGGUGGAAUGACGGAGUAACGCCCCGAAACGCCAACCUUGAUACUCCGACUGGCUCUACUCAAAAGGUAGAUGUUCAGAAGCUCGGUGAAGUCGGCAGAGAGUUACCGUAUUGUGCUAUAAAAGUACAACGAAAGCUGUUCAGCGGUGAAUGGUGUAACCUAUAUGCCGGAGGUCUAUAAA
rnacentral:ncRNA from 1 species